GUGUUCACUUUGGCAGCACAUAUACUAAAAUUGGAAUGAUACACAGAACAUUACCAUGGCCCCUGCACAAGGAUGACAUGCAAAUUCGGGUAAUAUUCCAUUAAAAA